CAGGGUUUGACAUCCUACGCUCGCCAGAGAGAUCUGGUUUUCCCGCAAGGGACGUAGAGACAGGUGCUGCAUGGCUGUCGUCAGCUCGUGUCGUGAGAUGUUGGGUUAAGUCCCGCAACGAGCGCAACCCUCGCCUUUAGUUGCCAUCAUUAAGUUGGGCACUCUAGAGGGACCGCCGGCGACAAGCCGGAGGAAGGUGGGGAUGACGUCAAGUCCUCAUGGCCCUUACACCCUGGGCUACACACGUGCUACAAUGGCGGUGACAGUGGGCAGCUACUUCGCGAGGAGCGGCUAAUCCCAAAAAACCGUCCCAGUUCAGAUUGCAGUCUGCAACUCGACUGCAUGAAGGUGGAAUCGCUAGUAAUCGCAGAACAGCAGGCUGCGGUGAAUACGUUCCC
rnacentral:rRNA from 1 species